rnacentral:lncRNA from 1 species
AUUGAUAGUUUUCUACUACUAAUGAAGGAAAUAUUAGUAAAGUUUAUCAUGGAGGAGGGUUUACACCAAGUAAUUGAGAUGGCCAAGGCUGGAAUUCUUUGUUGCCCCUUACUAAAGAGCCUCUUCGAUUGCUUUCUACUGCCCACUGCUCCAAAAUCCAGUGAGAAGGAAGAGCGUGAAAUCGACGGUGCCGAUCGAGGGAUCGUGGAUAAUCGCGCGGCGAACAACCAUUUCAGGCACUGCAAUAUUCGAGUCCCUUGAGUAAGAUCACAAAGAUAUAUACUUGUUUGGUCGUUUUAUUUUAUAAUUUUCUUUAGUGUCUAAAGAGAAAUAAAGAUAACAAGUUCCACCAAACUUUGCCAAUCAUCAUGUGCAGGCUUAGUUCCUUUAUGAUCUAGAUGCAUGUGUAAAAUGUCAAUUGUUGUUUCCAUUAAUUAAAACACGUCCGAGUUGAGGGUGUCAUAAAAACAUAGAGAUGAAUUUAUAAAAUGGCUUAAUCAUUCUUCUUUUCUACUUUCUUUUUUCUUUCUUUUUUUUUUUUUCUCUUCCGCGUCAAUUGAUAUAUUCGUAAAUAUUUAUUCGGUCUCUACUCUAGGGUGCCCUUUUUAUUAUGAGGAGUUAAAGAAAGGAAGAAUUAAUUGUACAUAUAAAUUAGUCAUACAUAAUUAGUUGAGUAGUAUUGCAGUACCCAACUAUUAAUAACUUGAGAGAUGCUUUUAUAUACAUCGACCAAAUCCUGAGUGCUUAAUUAUUAUUAUUAAAAUGAAUUGUGGAGAUUUUUCGUAUUAAAUUUGGUGACUUGCUACGGUGCCAACGAUAUUGUUGGAUAAAAUUAAUAUCCAAAUCAACACAUAAAAAUCACACAGAUUUUUACACACCUCUUUCGCCACGGAAUGUAUUACGAUUAUCAGGAUCUGAUCUCGACUUGUUUUACAAACUCUUCGAUCCGCCAAGAAUCUGUCAUGCAUGUUAUUCUUUCUCAUUGCGAACCGGCUACCAGAGUCGCUUGGAGCACACCGCCCAAAUCCCUAGGGUUUCAGAUGGUGCCUUAGAGCAAACUUAAGAGAGAGAAUUUUUGUAGAGAAAUUAAACUAAUUUUUGGCAUACCUUAUGUAUUUAUAGACUAUAAAGGAGACUAAUCCUAUUUUGACUUAAUCUUACAUAGAUAGAGAUUUAAACAUAUUACCAUGUGGACUAGAAAUAUCUUAGAUAAUUACCAAUAGUUAUUCCUUAUCUCAUAUGAAUUAGAAAUAUUUUAGAUAAGUCAUAAUAUGGACGAAUCCUAACAGAUAUCUGGUGCUGCAAUUCUGGGUAUUUGAUCUCCAUAUGUGUGUCAUUUUAAGAUACCCAGUUGAACUUUAGUCUUUUGCAUUCACGCAACUACCCCCCUUCUCGACCGUAGUUUUUUGUUUACCUUAGCCGAUUUCGUAGGUAAAUCUCCCACAUAUUUGCUCAGGAAAUUCGAGCUCUGGCAUACAAACAUUUUAUAAUUUAGAAAAAAUAAAAGGCAAACUACGUCAAAAUUCAUUUUAGCCUUCGAACAAUUAAAUUUAACUGUUUAAUUCUAAGUUCUUAAAUUAUUACAUUAGUCACAAUUCCACAUAUACUAUUUGCAGAUCAUAGGUUUGAUAUGUAGAAUAUGAAGAAAACUAAAAUCCGAUUGUGCAAAUCACAAAUGCGAGCAAAUCACAAAUGCGAGUAAUAAAGAAAAAAAGGAAAUUGAGAGGAAUCACUGCAAACACAAUAAAUUUUAGGGCAAAAUUCAAAUACCACCCCUGUAGUUUCGCACUUUCUUACUUUAAUACUCUGUAGUUUAAAGUGUAUCAAUUUAGUACUCUAUGGUUUCAUUUUUUCUUUUUGUCAGUUCUUCCGUUAAUAUUUUGUUAAAUUAUAUAUACAAAAAACUUCAGAUAUUGCAUUUAGGUUUAUCGAAUAUUCACUUUAGUGCUCUUUAGCUUUAACUUUGUCAGUAAUUUACCGAAAAAAAUUAGUUAAAUGGAUAAUAAAAAAAAGAAAAAUGAAACCACAGUGUACUAAAUUAAUGCAUUUUAAACCACAAAAUAUUAAAGUAAAAAAGUGCGAAACCGCAUGGGUGGUAUUUGAAAUUUAAUUUUCCUAAAUUUUAUAUGGAUUUGCCAAUGAGCCUAUGUCCACGCUGAUCCUCUACUUGAGACACUGAAUUUUACUACCUUCGAUGGUCUUUCAAGGCCAAAGCUGAGCCUUUACUCAUCCUUUUGCAGGCUUUCUGGUGACUUCUAUAGCAUGAACUUUCCACUUAAUCUAUUUAUAGACAAGAGUAAGUAAAAAUAGUGUGACAUAAUAUUUGGAAGGAUUCUAGAGAAGCUAUAUGCAAGUUAAAAUGGAAUCUGAGUGUUGGCACCAUAAAAAUCGUGCCAUGUGGUGAACCACGAUACACCACGAGAGUGGUUCCUAAAACCCACAAAGAGGUGACAUGUGGUGCAUCAGGAGUGGAGGAGAAUACACCUAAAACUGAAAAACAGUUAAAGCCAAUGCAGUUGAGAUCGGCCGGAAGUGGUCCACAAAAUUAGGGACGUGGUCGAUAGUGGAGAAUAAUUGAAUUGAGUAGAUGGGCGAAGCUAUAAAUAAACGAAAAACGCCUGACAAAAUGGUUUUUCUCCUGCAAACGAGAAAACCAAUUUUUUUUCCUUACAUUUUCUACUUUCUAGGAGUAGUCUAUCUAUAAUCCCUUUUCUUUUUCUAUAUUUACUGUCUAUCCUAGGAGUAGUUUUUAGGUUAGUAUCUCCUCUGAGAUCGUACACCAUAGCAGCGCACCCUAUUCUAUAAACAUUUUCUAGUUUUAAGCAAUCUGUAAUCAUCAUUCGGCUCUUCAGCUGAAUCGAAAAAUACUGUGUAGUCUCCGGACUCGGCUGAUCCAGCCUAACCGAAAUUACUAUGUAAUAUUGAACUUGGUUGAUUUGAUCCCUCAUCAACCGAAUCGCUUGAUUUGUUGGUGGACGCUAACUUCAAGAGUCAUCAUCAAUAGCCGCUUUAACUCCUUGCGCACUUUCGGAAGGAGGUCAUUGACCGAGUUAGUGGCACGCCUGGUGGGACUCAAUUUAGAUAAUACUCUAUUUAUUUUAUAUUAUGACUGAUGAUAAUGCCAAGAAUCUCCGCAACCGUGCCAUUCCAUGAUCUUCGGGGAAUGACCAGGCAAGCGUCAGUGAAAAUACAAAUGAGCAUCACGCUGUAUUGCCAGUCGGGAAUGAAACCAGGGGUAAUCGACUCAUCAAGAGCCGAGUUUAAUGCAAGCGCUUGGACAAAUGACUUGAUGUUACGGAUUUUAGUGUUGACAAAUUUCGUGACAUGUUGUGAUGAGUCGUUUAGGUUGAGUCAGAGUCUUGAAGGUUUGGAAAAAAGAGGAUGAAGUUCGAAGACUCAAAAAUUCAUUACAUGAAUUCACGAUGCUUGGUAAGUUUAUUAAUAUUGAUGGUGAUUUAUGAAUGUUCACAUAUGUUUGGAAAAUAUUAGAAUAGGUUUAAAUUAAUAAAAUAUUCAAAAACUCAGCUUUCCAAGUUUUAGGAUCCGGACCUUGGUGCAAGGUUCAGAACCUGCACGCCCUCCUGGCUGAUGCGCAGCGAGGGUCCAGAUCUUGGGUCUAGGGUCCGGAACCCGUACGUCUGUUUUGCUGUUACGCAGGGAGGGUCUGGACCUUGGGAUGAAGAUCCGGACCCUAAUGUAAGGUUCAAAUCCUAAACCCAUCAUGAGUUUUCCAAACAUGAUUUUUUCAAUCCUAGUGUAGUGUACCGAAUUCUCGGUGCGCCAAUCCGAACUUUAGUCAAAAUUGACCAAAGUGUGGUAAUGGACGAUUUGGAGAGGUCCGUUAUUGUUCCGAAUGCUCCGGAAUGGUUUAAACAAGUGCUAGGGACCUUGGAGAGCAAGCCUGAAAUUUUCAAGUCAUUUGGGCGUGUUUUGCUCUCGGGGUCCAGACCCUAGCUCCAAAGUCCGAACCCCGAAAAACGCAAAAUUUCAAAAUUAGCCAAAAUUCAGUUUUGUGAAGGAUUAUGGUGUAAUUGUGUUCGGGGAAGCCUUAUAUGAGGGUAUUAGGUCAUUUCCCCUCUCAUUUCCCCUUCACACCUCCAACAUGAGAGAUUUCCCUUUCUCUCUCUAAACCUCUCCCUCUCUCCUAGGGUUUGCUCCAAUAGUGGAGAAGUGGUGGAGAGAAGCUUGCUUGGAGGUGAAGCAACUUUCUUGUGCACCUUAGCUUGGAAGUGAGCAUUGGUUUGAGGUAAGCUUCAUGAGAUUUGAGGGCUUUGAGUUAGGGUUUGUGUAGAAACCUUAGAGAUGGGAUUAAUUGGAAACCCUAUAUGGUUCUAACCUUGAUUAAUACAUAUAUCAUGAGAGAUUUGUAUAUUAUGCAAUAAAUGGGUUUUUGGGUUUCAAAAGAGGGCUUUUGAUUAAGAUGGGUUUUAUUUCAAUUGAUCCUAUGUUUCUGCAAUUGAAGGUAAAACCGAUGCGGUGGACCGCUUAGAUUGAGGUUUCGUUAAGCAUGCGGUGGUCAAUUUGAAGAAAACCCUGUUUUUGCUUCAUUUGCCGCAGUCGGGUGAAAUCAACGACCAUAAAUUGCGCUGCUUGGCUUCCCGCUUUGUGACGACGACACGAGGUGGGGGGUGCUAUCCGAAAUAGUUGAAUUUUAUUCUAUGUCUAAGUUCUAUUUAUAUUGAUCAUAUAUCAUCAUGCAUUGAGUUAUGUGAGAAAUCUAUGAGUUCUUGGUAAAUUCAUGCUUAGUGUGAGGGAUGAUGGUCCAUGUGCAUGAUACUUGUAGGUGUAUAUUAUUUGCAUGAUGUUGAGAUAGAUGUGUAUAUGUAUGAUGCAUGAGAACCAUAGAUGCGCUUAUUGUAUAAUGCCAAGAUAGUUGUAUAUAUGCAUGUUGCACGAAAUACUAGUGAACAUAUGCAUGUGGAAAUAUUGUGAGAAUAGACUAGAUUCAUGAGGAACUAGUUAGGUGAACCUAUGGCAUUAUGAGAAUUGGAAACUAUUGCAUAUGUGGCCGAGUGUGUGAGCAUUGCGUGCCUUGUGAUUCGUUUGGGAUGUGGGAUUCACGCGGUCCUCGGGCGGGAAGAUAUGAUCAUACUCGCGUCAUCUGUUGAGGCUUGUGGAAGUCGCGCCUCCCAAGCAGUGAGCUCCGGAGUUGAAACAUAGUGAGAUAGAGAUGGGGGGUCGCCCCAGGCAGACGGUCACGGUUGCGUGACAAUGUGUAGCGAGUCGUGGUUCAACCUUUGGGUGAACCGAUUGGAUUGAAUCAAGGCAUGGUCAUGGCAUUUCAUAUAUAUGUUGCAUACAUGGUAGAACUUGUACUUGUUGACAUGUUUGGUAAAGGCAUAGUUUUACAUUUGAAGCAUGAUAUAGAUGUAUAUGAGCAUGUUAGGCUUAUUGUUCUAUCCAUUACUUCUUUGUCAUAUUGACCUAUCUAUUGUUUCUAUGCCUUCUUAGACCUAGUAUGAAAAUCGGCGGGGUCGGUGGCCGAAGCCACUGGGAACUUAGUUUAGUUCUCACACCCUGUUUUGCAGAGCCAAGCACGAGCGCAUAUAUCGAGGAUUGCGGUAAGGGAUCGAGCCCUAGAUAGUGUGGACCACCAGGCUAGAUCAUUUACCCUCUUGUAUAGCAAGAAAAGAAAAGAAAUAUAAAAGCCUUUUGUGAAAGAAAUGUGAUGUACAUAUUGGUGAGGUUAUCAUUUUGUAUGUAAAGGAGAAAAAAUUGUAAUAAGUUAAUGAAUGUAAAUCUUUCAUAUUUGAAAGUGUUGUAAUGGAUAGUUUAAUUCUCUUGCAACUGUGAUAUACCUCUUGCAAAUGUUUGAUACUAAUAUCUCUUGCUUGGAUAUGUAUGCAUGGACUUUGUUUACGCCAUGGGCGGACAGGGGAAACUCUGUCCGUUCGGUGGGUCUAUUUCAGGCCCGAGCUGUCCAAAUUGGCGGCGUCAAGUCAUGACAGAUUGGGUUGCUAUCAGAGCAGAGAAUGGUAUAGGAGGACCUAGAGAACCUUAGGACUUGUGGCCUUAAGGACUUAGGGACGUGAGUGUUGGUGACUCAUGGUUGUGGCGAAAUAUGAAUUGAUUGGGUCAAUUGUUGUACGUCUAUAAAAAGGAUGUUAGAGGUAGAUUCAAGGUGUGAUUUAUUCUCAACCGAGUGUGUUCAUGUUGGCGCGCGACAACAUGAAACUGAGUGAUGAGAAUAGGCACCCUUGUCUGAUUUUCGCCUGAUUUAAGUCUGGGUCGGUGUUAAUUGUUUUGUGCUCGACCUAGAGGGUCGAGAAUUGACCGAGUUGUCGUGUUUCUGGGAACGAUGGCAUUGCGUAGGUGAUCUUUUAACUAGAUCGGCGCAGGAUGGGACAAGUGAUGUCCCCGAGCAAUCCGAGGCGAGUGGAGACUCGGAACUUCACAAUCAGUUGGCCACACUCGUUGGAGUGGUGAGGCAACAUGCCGAUGUGGUGCAGCGUCAGCAGGAGGCUACCGUGCGCCAGGAGGAGCGGAUCAAGAGGCUCCCAGAAAUUGUGGAACAACUGGUGACCACACCAGUUGCGGCCCGUCGUGUAUGACCUGGAGUUGCGGCGGAGACCUUUCCGUCUGGGCCGGGCAGUCCGAUUCCUGAUAAUGCGGUGCUGGAGGCGGAGAGGGAGAGGGUUCUGGCGGCCCUCACGACUUUCAAUAAGUUUAAUCCGCCUAUCUUUGAUGGAGAGAAUAUGGAUCCGUGGAUCAUGGAAGUGUGGAUUGACUCCAUGAAAACUCUCUUUGAGGAUUUAUACAUCUUGGAGCGGGACAAGGUGCAUCUAGCCGCGCAUUGUCUGGAACAGUCGGCAAAGGUGUGGUGGAAAGGCAUUAGGCGGAGCCGAUCGCUUAGUCUUCCUCCUAUGACUUGGGAAGAGUUUCGGGGAUUGGUAUCAUCUACUUAUUUCCCCUCUCCAACAGUGAAAAGAGAAAGCUUCAGGACAGAUUUUGGAAGCUGCGGCAAGGUGACCGCUCAGUGAUGGAGUAUGAAUGGGAGUUGUCCCGAAUGGUGAGUUGUAUCUCGUCUGUGGUGUGGGAUGACAAAGACCGGGCCGAUUGUUUUGUGCGGGGACUUCGGCCGGCAAUUUUCAAAGUUGUGCACCCUCUUAAGUUGCAAACCUUUGCCAAAGUCUUGGACCAGGCCUUACGGGUGGAGUGAGGUAAUGCUUUCACGCAGGAGGAGCGUGAAUCUCUCGAGUGAGAGACGGGAUCGAUGUGAUCGAGGAACAGUUCGGGUGGUCAAUCAAGCUCCAGGCGACCCCCGAGACAAUUGCAAUCGCAAUCCCGAACCUCGAAAGUGUCUUCUACUCAAUCCUUUUCAGGAUGUGUUAUUUGUGGUGGUUCUCACCUAGCGCGGCGGUGUGCGCUGCGUGAAGGAAGAUGCAUUCGUUAUGGGCAGCUGGGCUAUUUGCGGAAUGAGUGCUCGCUAAGAGAUAGCCAAGGCCUGACACUGGCGACGGCCUUUUCCUCUCUGAGACGGCCUGCGGGUGUGUCACCUGCGACAUGGUCUGGAGAGCGAGUGACGAUGAUGAGGCAACCGGAGGGUUCAUGGUGGGCACCAACUGGCCAUGGGUACGCAACCCAGGUUGACGAACCUAUUGCUACGGACGACGUCGUGGCAGGUGUGAUUUAAUUAAGAAAUGUAAGUUGUGGCAUUGCAUGCAUUCGUCUUGUGGUCAACGGCUACUAUCUACAUAAAUAUAGUAGGGACCAGGAUAUGGGUAAGUGUAUAGUUACCCUGACAUGCUUGUGUUGUGAGAGGGUAUCGCCUACUGAAUGUAUAGGUGAUUAGACGAUACCGACGAGUUGCUGGUGACGAGCCGAGGAUAGGGCUUAUGGUAGAGGUGGAAAUGGUGGACUGACUCUCAAGGCAAUAUGAGUGAUUAAAUACUGUCAUUACAACUAAUGACUAAUAGGAGUGUCAAUCUUCUAGUAUGUUUACUACUAGGUAUAUUUCAACUAAUGACAUAAAGUACCUUUACUACUAUGUUCAUCUAAGAUUCAAUUCAUUUACAAUAACCCAAUUAACAAGAGACUUACGCGUGGUGAAGUCCCGGCUCGUGCCAUGCCUAAUGGCCCCGUGGAAGUGAACACUACCCACGGCAAUCCACUUCGGCGCUCAAUCUUGUACGGGCGAUCUGCUGUCGCAUAGGCCAACUCCAGAGUGCUAGCUUGUGGGGAGCGACCCUCACAAUCAUGUGCGAAUGAGCACAUUGGCAAGCAAACGUGAUCCAUAGCAUAAGGUCCAUAGGUCUCAUACCCAAUCAUCAUGUCUCUAAUAUGGAAUCUCAACUUCAACUCAAAGUCGGCUAUUAAUAACAAAGUCAUAUCUUUCUUUCAACUACUUGGUGACAUAUUUCUACCAAUAUAUAAUAUGACUUAAACAAAUACAUGGUUUACAUCAUAUUGAUGAUUCUAGCGGGCUAUACCCGCAUACUUACAUAUAGUCCUCUCACUACUUCCUACACAUAGGAAAAGUGGUUUACUAAAGUCAUAGUCACUGACUCACUAUGAUGUUCAUACAAACUCAUGGCAUAUGUUCUAAAUUUCUAAACGUCUACUACAGGAAGUAAACAAGUAUUAUGCAAAUACAUCUACUUGACUACACAAGUAUAUCAUUUCACGAUCUAUAGGUCAGAAUCUACAUCAUUAUGUCCAACUCUAGUUAUUUAACUAGGUCAUAUUCAAUAGCAUAAAAUUCAUACUAACUCUAUCAUAUGAAUGUCAUGAACAACUUGUCUACACAAGUAUACAAAACUUCAUGUAAGGUAUUCUAUACAUGAUCUCUAACAAUUCAUUUCACAAUAUAAAGAUAUAAUCUUGUUAUAUGCAAUAUAUACAAAAAUUCUGUCGUCAUGUCUAUAACAUGGAAUAGCAUAAUUUAACUUAAGAGUUAAAUAUCAUAACCAUUCUCCACUUAGUUGUUAAUCUAUACUAAGUGUCACAUUCAUAGUUUUACCUCGAUUCUCUGUUGAAUGAUGCAAUGUCUAACUUGUCUACACAAGUUGUACUAAUCUCAUAUAAAGCAUGCUAAAUACGCUAUUUCUAAAAUCCCUUUUUCUCUACUACAUAGAGAUUUUAUUUAAUCAUAUAUGGUAAGUGUGAGGAAAUGAAACCUCGACGUGCGGAAAAUGAACUUCGAUCAAAUUGACCGAGGGUUAGUUCAGAAUGCUUCGGAAAAGUCCGAAGGCGUCAAAAAUGGUUUAGAAGGGUGUUGAAGGACUUUGGAGAGCAAGAGUGUUGAAUUCUGCAAUUUGCAGAAUUUUCAUGCUCUCGGGGUUCGGACCCUAUGCAGGGUCCGGACCCCGUAGCCCAAAUCUGCCCAGUGCGGGCUGUGCAUAACUUGACUUGCCGGGGUCUUUUAUGCAAUCGUUGCAUGAGGGGAGUGUAUAGAAGGGGGUUUAGGCCAUUUCUCUCCUUCUCCCUCACUACUUCAACCCAAAAGCCUCUCUCUCUCUAAGAGCUCUCCCUCUCUCUCUAGGAGUGGAUUAAGAGAAGGGAUUGGUGGAGAUUGGAGCAAGGAGGUGAAGCACCAUCAUCUUCUUCUUCCUUAGCUUGAAGAGGAUAGCUUGUAGAGGGAAGCUCUUAGCCCUCUCAUGGUGGAUUGUUAGGGUUUAGCUUAGACCUCUUAGAACCUAGCUAAAUGGAAUUUAAUAAAGCUCUAGGUAUUGUUGCUCUCAUUUAUUGCAAGAAUAAAUGGUUAGAUGUAGCCUUUUUGCAAUAGUAAGGUUCUAGGGCUCCAAAAGAGGACUUUUGCUCAUGGAUGGUUUUGAGCUAAAUUGACCCUAUGAAUCUUCAAUUGAAGGUAAAGUUAACAUUGUGGGCAACUCAAAUUGAAGUUCUUACGAUCGGGUGACGAAUAAUCGAGGAAAAAGACUAUUUUUGCUUCAUUUUCGCCUGAAGGGCUGAGGCGACGUCUAAAAAUCACGAAAUCGGGUUUCUAGCAUCGCGGCAUCACCAGAAGGUGGGGGGUGCCACCCGAAGCAGUUGAACUUCUUCCUAUGUCCAAGUUGUAUUGUUGAGCAUACAUAUACAUAUAUGAUAUCUUGUAUUAUAGGAUGUGUUGAGUAGUUGCAUUUACAUUUCCUUGCAUGCUUCCAUAGUAGUAAUAGAAAUUAUGGGUUGAACACAUAAUCUAGUGGAUGCAUGAGGAUUGGGUUGUGACAUUGAAUCCUAUAGUGACAAGAUCGAGUAGUGAACUUGGACAAUAUGUUUAUGUAAAUGAGGGACAUGUGAUUUAGUAUGGUAGAGGCACUUAAACAUGAUUACAUAAACGAGUGGCAUUGUAACAUACCGGAUUUUAAUUUAAAAGUGAAUAUAAAUAAAGAUAGUAUGGGAUACUAUUUUUAUUGGACUUAGAGAAGUAAAGCAUAAGUCGGAAACGACCUAUGCUGAAAUCGGAACGGAAACAGAAGAUUUAGAAUUUUCUGUGAGAAACGGGACUGAUAUUUUAGCAGAAAAUGCACAGUGUCAGAAAAUUAUGAAAUCUAGAGAAUAUGUCAGAAUUAUUUUUAUGAGGCUAGAUUUAAAAUUUCAUGCCAUUCUAAUACCCGGAAGGUGGAAAAUAAAAUCCGACUGCUAUCUGCUAGAGAUCACAGUUUGGUAGAGCUUUCGAUGACCAAACAUGGUCCAAACUGAAAAGUUAAGAUAUAUUCCGUUUAUUUACCGAAAAUCGAGCAUGACCGUCAAAUUUGAGCGCAAACGGACAUUCAGAAGGGCCUGCGAAAAGUAUCUGAUCCUGAGCUGCUAAGCUGCAAGUUGUAAUUUGUGGGCGAAUGGGUUUUGUGCAAUUGUUAUAGCCCUAUUAUGUUGCCUGGCUGCAUGCGCACACAACACACACACGCACACACCCUCUCCCUCUCCCUCACACUUGCAACUAAGGAAGGAUCUCUCUCUCUCUCUCUUGAAGUUGGAAUCAAGAGAAGGAUUGGUGGAGAAGGAAUCAAGAAGGUGGAUUAUUUUCUUCUUCAUCUUCUUCCUCUCCAUUGGAGCUGACUUGAGAGGUAAGCUUAGGCCCCUUUCAUGGUAGAUUGCUAAGGAAUGAUUUAUAAGAUCUAGAAAUAGAUUUAGUAGAAUCCUUAGAUGCUAAAUGGAUGACUAUUGCCUGAAUUAAGAGAUUAUGUGAUGAUUUCUUACAAUAGUGCAUCUUAGGGCUCAAAAAUAGGGUUUUGCAAAAUGUAGGGGCUUGAUCUAAAUUAACCCUGUGUAAACCUAAUUGAAGGUAUUUCCGACGCGUUGGUGAAGUCGGUUCGGCGAUUCGUCGAGCCUACGCGAAGAUAUUGAAGAAACAGACGUUUUGGCUUCGUUUUUGCCUGGAGGGCCGAGGCGACGUCCAAAAAUCACGAGAACGGAUCCGGAGUAUUGUGGCAUCAAGUUAUAGACCUUAAAUUUUCGGAUUGUGGAUUGGUGGCCGUUAGGUGGUCGAGUGCGAGUUUGGGCCGAACCGGGUCACGUGUGCUGCGGGAGGCCGAUUGCAAGUGACUACAAGCAAACGGAGAGAGAAUCGAGGUGGGUUGUGCUCACCGAAAUGUUUAGCUCACUUCCAUGUCGAAGUGAUGUGAGGUUUACUAUUGAUGCAUAUAAGGGUAGCUAGUUGUAAAACAUAUGAACGCAUGAGGUGAAUGCUACGAUAGGCUACCAAAGAAUGCAUGUUGGCAUGUUAUAGAAACGCUAAUGUAAGAAUGUUAAAAGAAUGCAUGUUGGCAUGUUAUAGAAAUGCUAAUGUAAGAAUGUUAAAUGAAUGCAUAUUGGCAUGUUAUAGAAAUGCUAGAAGAAUGCAAAUUAACAUAAUGUAAGAAUGCUAAAAGAAUGCAUAUUGGCAUGUUAGAGAAAUGAUAGUUGAAUGCAUAAGAUAUAUGGCAUGUGAAUGUUAGCAUUAUAAGAAUAUGCUAGAUGAGGUAUGCAUGUUAACAUAUUGUGGCUUAUGUUAAAGGUAAAAUGCAUGUUGGCAAAUUAUGGAGUAUGCUUGAUUCAUAAGAGUUGAACUUAGGUCGAUAACUCUAGGUGGAUUAGAGACCUCGAUAUUGGAAAAUAAGAAUGCGUAAACUAUGAUACUCGAUGUGGACAAGUAGAAUGUCAAGUAGAUCGAGUGGCAUUGAACCUAGUGUCGUGAACAUAGGUCGAAUAUGAGUGACAUUGAACCUAGUGUCGUGAACAUAGGUCGAAUAUGAGUGACAUUGAACCUAGUGUCGUGAACAUAGGUCGAAUAUGAGUGGCAUUGAACCUAGUGUUAGAGAAUAUAGGUUAAGAAUUGAACCUAGAGUCAAGUAUACCUAGGUUAUGGCAUUAGUGGUAUUAAACCUAGAGUCGAGUGGACCUAGGAUGUAAAUGAUAUUGGACCUAGUGUUAAUGAACCUAGGUUAGGAAUAUAGUGACAUUGCAACUAGUGUUAAUGAACCUAGGUAGUAAAGAACAUUGGACCUAGUGUUAGUAAACCUAGGCUAUGAGCAUAAUGGCAUUGGACCUAAUGUAUUAAACUUAGGUUGAGGAAAGGCUUGGACCUAGAUAGGUCGAUACUAUAGGGUGAGACCAACCCUAGAGUUGUGAAAGUGGAUUCCGGAAUUCCCGCUGCGAGUGCAGCGGCUGCUAGUGCAGCAUAUGAGCCCAACAGUUCUUGGCUGCGGGUGCGUGUGGCAUAUUCCCCUCCCACCGGAAGAACUUCGAGGAUAGGCUUAUGGAUGAUUCUUGGUUGCGGGGGUUGUGUGGCAUAUUCCCCUCCCACCGGAAGAAUCUUGAGACCGCUAGGGUGCGUGUGGCAUAUUCCCCUCCCUAUCGGGGGUCUUGGGCCGCGGGUGCGUGUGGCAUAUUCCCCUCCCACCGGGAAGAUCCCUAACCACGGAUGUACGCAGCUCUGGGCGACCCGUUGGGCGAUGUGGUUUGUGGAUUGAAGGCUAAGGUGUAUGUGAGAGUUCCUUCACCUCGAGCCGGACAGAGCGCGGAUUAUCCGCAGUUGAUUGACUUAAGAUCGAGUCGAGUGGCAUAGUUGGCUAAGGUAAAGUAACCUUAGGAAAGAAUGGCAAAUGUGUAUAAUAUGGCUAAGGUGUGAGUACCCUUAGUAGUGAAUAAAGAAUAAAAAAUAAAGAACGGCUAAUGCUAAAGUAUAGCAAUAAUAAAGAAUGGCUAAGAAUAAAGAAUGGCUAGUAGUAAGCAAUGGCUAGCGCUAGAGAACGGUUAGCGUUAAAGAAUGAAUAACGAAUAGUGAUAAAGAAUGGCAAAUGAUAGAGAGUAGAAUCAAUUAAUCUACUUGCAUGAGUUGCAUGAUUCGCAUAUUGCAUAUUGUGAGGCAUGAACAUGAUAAUUGUUAGUUGCAUAAAUUAUAUAUCUAUGGAUAUUUGUUGGACUAAUAUGUUUGCAGUGCCUCCCUUGGACCUGGUGGGUCGAGCUUUUUCCUUGGGUGGUCGUACCCACUGAAAACUAUGGACAAUAGUUCUGACUCCCGUGUUGUUUUUGGGGGUAUAGGUUCACACGUGAGUGGCGCGGCGGUGCGAGAAAAGGGCGUAGCUCCGUAGAUAGCACUCUACCACCGAGACCAGAGAUAGCAAUACCUUGAGUCGGCUACUUAGGAAUGUAAAAGAAAAUAAAAAGAACAAUGUUGUAAUAGUUGUGUUAAAUCGGAUUGUAUUUGGAAGUAUGAAUCUAGUUAAUGUAAUGUAAAAUGUGAACUAAGAUGAAUGCUUGUAAUACUAUAGUCGUGUUAUGUUUUUGAUACCUUUCUUAUGCAAUCUUUGUUGUAUGUUGUUCCUGGUUGGAACCUCACGCAUUGUAUGAUUGUGACGCCUUGAACGUACAGGGGAGACUCUGUCCGCGGUAAAGGAGAAACCCUGUCCGUUCGGCGGUCUGUUGGCGUGCCCGAACCGGCCAAAGAGGCGGGCUCGAGGCGUGACAUGCAUAUGAUUUAGUGUAGUAGAAACACUUGUAAAACAUAUGACUUGAAUGAGUGGCAUUUGACUAGUGUAGUAGAAACACUUAUGACAUGAUGAACUAGGGAUAGAUGAUUUUCCCAAGUUAUGGACAUAUGACAUGUGAACUUAGUGUAGUUGAGACACUUGAACAUGAACAUUGGGAUAGUUGAGUUCCCAAGUUGUUGUUAGCCCCAGUUGGUAGGGUGUCCUCAGUUGACGAGGAUUGGAUCAUACUCACAUAGUUUGUUUUCGCUUGGCGGUGGUCGCUCCACCGAAGCAGUGCACUCCGGAGUUGUCACACUAAGGGUAGACGUGGUUGUCCCGCAGACGGUCUCGGGUGGGUCGAGCAGCUGAGCCUCCUCACUUAUGGGAUUCGAGAUGUGAGUCGGGGCGAACCUUCGGGUUAGCCAAGCGGAUCGGAUGAUGGACCAAUGAAUGAUAUACUUGUUGAACAUAGUGGCAUGAUAAUUGACUUCAUUACUAUGUAGUUCUUUCAUUCAUAUAAAUUGUUGAGAUAUUCUAGCAUGAUAGUUGACUUCAUUGCUAGGUGGACAUAGCAUGCAUUUAUAUUGUUGAAGGCAUGGUAGCAUAGUAAAUUGAUAGUAGAUUUCAUUACUAUGUUAGCAGCUUUCAUUAUUAUAUCUAUCUACUCAUGCCUGCUUAGAUCUAGUGGGA